rnacentral:lncRNA from 1 species
GUGCUAUCUCAUUCGCCAUCCUGUUUUAUUUGAUAUGCCUAUAAAGAUAUCAAAAUAUGAGACUAAAGCUCUAGUUUAUUGUCGAUAAAGCUGAAGUUCGGAGCAUGUUGAAUAAUCUUGGUCAGACUUCGUCGGUUCGUCCCAAUCUCUCUUGAAGGAUAGCUGAGGUUCGGACCAUCUCCUCCGGUUCGUCUUGCCUCAACUCGUCUAACCCGUCCAUGUCUUGAUCAAGAUCCUCAUCCGGUUCUUGUCUUCCCAUGGUCACUCCACCUUUUUGCUGAAAGUUAAAGCCCGUGAACUGCCGGACUCGAAGAUAUGUUGUUGUUGCAAUAUGUUUUGGUUGUAUAUUCUCAUUUUAAUGUACUAAUAUGCAUCCUAAAAAAAAAAAUUCUCUUGGAAUAGAACAUAUAUACCUAGCCAAAAAAAAAAUAUAACCUGGAAGUGUAGCGAUGGUGCAACAUGGAAAUUGAGC